GUGCAUGUCAGAGUGGGCGCAACUGGUCGAAGGAAGUCAGGUGCAGGAGAGCAGAGAUGAGUGAACAGGCACACUUUAUUCAGGCAGAGGAAAACAGCCAGACGCAACUGCGUCACAACAUUCCGGACCAAGGGAAAAAGCACGCAACUGCGUCACAACAUUCCGGACCAAGGGAAAAAGCACGCAACUGCGUCACAACAUUCCGGACCAAGGGAAAAAGCACGCAACUGCGUCACAACACUCCGGUCCAAGGGAAAAAGCACGCAACUGACUCACAACACUCCGGCCCAAGGGAAAAGCGAAUGCGCACAAGCUACACAAACAGGUACAAAUAACAAAACCACGGGUUACAACAAUACCCGGCGCAAAACCAGCCUGAAGCUUCACACACGUAACGAACGAACAAUACCCCACACAGACAUGGGGGGGACAGAGGAUAAUAUACAUGUAGAGUAAUGAGGGGAUGUAAAACCAGGUUUGUGGGAAAACAAGACAAAACUAAAUGGAAAAUGAAAGGUGGAGCGGCGAUGGCUAGAAGACCGGUGACGUCGACCGCCGAACGCCGCCUCAACAAGAGGGUGGGUGUGACUUCCUGUCUGUAACCCAUGUGACUUCCUGUCUGUAACCCAUGUGACUGACAAUGACAGUUGUGAUGACAUCAUGAUGGUUAUUCCUCUACUAAGUUAGGUUUCAUCAACGGUCUUCUGGGGUUUAUUGCCAUCAUCACAGCAGCUGAACUACCACAGUCUGACGGUGAAGUCUACCUGAGACUCCAAGCCAAACCCUACAGAGUCCACACCUCCGGUUCCUUCAUCAGCAGUCCUCUGCUUUAAUACCCUAAUGGCAUAUCUAGAACCAGACUACAAGAUGCCAUGUAGAAAAACCGUGACGGUCCCGAUGGAGAAAUUAUACAACGACUCUGCUCUGCAAGUACAAAGCACAAGCUCUACAAUCACCAUGCGUGGCGUUAACAACAGCCUGUUGGACGUCUAUUAACACGCUGUUAUACAUCACUGCAAAGAGCCAUCACAUGGAUGAGAAGUGGGACAUGACGUACUGACAACUGAGAACAUGGAGGAGAGACACAGCAGAGAGCCUAAAACGUUGUUGAGUGGGUGGGGGACAGCUGUAAAGUGAGAGCCAGCUGGUAGCUAGUCAGGACUGCAGUAGA